rnacentral:rRNA from 1 species
GAUGAACGCUGGCGGCGUGCCUAAUACAUGCAAGUCGAGCGAACAGACGAGGAGCUUGCUCCUCUGACGUUAGCGGCGGACGGGUGAUUAACACGUGGAUAACCUACCUAUAAGACUGGGAUAACUUCGGGAAACCGGAGCUAAUACCGGAUAACAUGUUGAACCGCAUGGUUCAACAGUGAAAUACGGUUUUUCUGUCACUUAUAGAUGGAUCAGCGUCGCAUUAGCUAGUUGGUAAGGUAACGGCUUACCAAGGCAACGAUGCGUAGCCGACCUGAGAGGGUGAUCGGCCACGCUGGAACUGAGACACGGUCCAGAAUCCUACGGGAGGCAGCCGUAGCGAAUCUUCCGCAAUGGGCGAAAUCCUGACGGAGCAACGCCGCGUGAGUGAAGAAGGUCUUCGGAUCGUAAAACUCUGUUAUUCGGGAAGAACAAAUGUGUAAGUAACUAUGCACGUCUUGACGGUACCUAAUCAGAAAGCCACGGCUAACUACGUG